CCCCCCGCGGCCUCAUAAAAGUAUAAGAAGCUCCACCAGUCCAGGCUGAAGGAUACCCUGAGCAGCAGCCUGGGGAGGAUGCUUGUGAGAGCAGAACGGGUUUUGCCUACCCAUUGAGGAGAAUGGAAAGAUGAUGGUAUGUGCAAGCCAUAAAUGAGGACUCAUCACCGCGUUUCCCAAAGGCUUGCUUGACCUCCAGCCUGGAUGGAGACAUCCAUGGGGUGGGAGAUUGGACCACGCAGCCAGGACCAUCCCAGGUGUGGGCAUUGGGUCUUCAGCCAAAUGCGUCGAAUGGAGCCAAGCAUGGUGAGGGACCAGGGAAAGGACAACAUCGUGCAUCGAGGCUCAGCUCUACCGCUGUAAUGAAAGAUUAAAGAAUCCAGGCUCCUUCCAUGUGGCCAUGACUUGUCCCCCAAACCCGUGGAGUUUCCCUUCUCUUCAACACAGGCAAAAGGCAGAUGGAGGUUCAUCACUGCUCCCCUCAGCGGUCCCAUUCAUUGUUGUUUUCCAGGGGACACCGGUCCUAUGACUCAGAAACCCACCUGAAGCCAAUAAAUGGUUCAAGAGACUCUCACUUGUCUCUUGGAUCUGCACUUUUGAACUUCUGAUCUGCGAAGUCCUACUUAUGAGAGCUCCACAAAAAGCAACUCGUCAACCUGGAGGCUCUCAGCAGAACGGUUCAAUUGCCUUAGAAGGGGCUGUAGUGCCACAGGAAAAGUUUUCAGACUGCAAAACAAAGCAGGUUGAAAGCCUCAGACUGGAGGUUUUGGGGCACAUCUAAGGUGAUUCAGAGGCUCUGCACUUCCAGAGCUGAAAUGUGAAUAAGAAACUGUUGACUUUAGUUGGGAUGUUGACAUGAGAAGGAAGUUCUGACCAAGAAAAAAAAAAAAAAAAGUCAAUAUUUACCAGGUGGGAUAAUAAAUCUUUCGUUAUGAUCAAUGCAAAAAAUGUAGUGGAUGCGUUGCUAUAUACAGUCCGUCAGGUAAACGAAGCCACUGCACUUCCUUUAUUUCAAUUAGAUGCAAGCAAUUUGCUGAGAUAUUCAGAGUAAUGUGUAACUGAGAAGUUCUGAGGGCCGUUCCCAGCCCACGGCUAAAUAACCUGACACCUCUAAGUGAUGUGGAACAUUUUUAGCCUUUGCUGCAGGCAAAAACCAAGAGCGAGACAGCACGAUCCUAAUUCUUGCCCAGAUUGCUGGGAUUGUUUCUGCCCCACAGCCCCACAGGCCGGGCGAGGGGUGGAGGUGAGGAGGGCUGGGUGCGAGGGGCAGAAGGCAGCUGGGUGUCCACGUGGAAAAUCCACCCCUUGGUGACUUCAGCAGAUGGGAUCAGCAUGGCCAUCCAAUGCACGUUGUGCAGCCUUAUAGUCCAGUCCUCCGCACACCUCCAGAGAAAGAGCCAUAAAACUCUGC
rnacentral:lncRNA from 1 species